ACAAGUGCACGUGCAUCGGAUUCAUAAAAACUAGUUUAUAAAUAAUGGGCCCUAUACCUAAAGUCAGUCAAAUUUCCAUUUUUGACCCCACCUUAACCAUUUUUUUCUUUUUUUUUCUUUUUUGAGAAUAUUUGUCUCUGUUCUUCUGCUCCACAAAACAGUCCCUUUUAACUCCAAUCCGGAAGAAGCUAAUCUCCUCUUCGUGCCAUUCCCUUCGCGCCACUCAACGUCGAAUAGCCACGCCAACCAACCGCCUCCAUCACUUUACAAAAUCGCGAGGAGGCGCUCGUGUCUGAUUAAUGCAGACUCCAGCUCCGCCCACUAGUGCGAGAUCGUGCGUGGUAUCGGAUGCUCGCAUAAUGCAGUUUGGUUGGACACCGCCGGUUUUGCGCACCUCACCAGGAGAAUCUGGUUCAUAUUAUCUCCGCUAAAAAUAUAGGCCAUGUCCCCCACUACGACAACGUUUUUCUUUUAUUUUUUAACUCCUCCCUGCAAUCAAAACCUAUGUUAUAAGACUAAAUAAUUAUUAGCCCCUCAUAUUUAAUUAUAAUUAUAGUUUUAUCCCUUUAUUUGAUAAAAUAUA